rnacentral:ribozyme from 1 species
UCUAUAUCACGAUCUCUUUUUCUUUUUUUUUAAUUUUAUUUUUUUCUUUUUCUCUCCGAAGAAAGAGAAACUUUUAAAGAGGAGGGGGAUAAGGAGUAAAGAGAAGGAAUAAUAGAGGGGAGGGGGUUUUGUGAGUGUUCUAAAGUUCUUGUGUUUUUACUUCAAGGAGAGAAAAAAAAAAAAAAAAAAAA